UAAAGGUGGUGCCUGAGGAGGAGGCUAAGCAAAUACAAGAAUUGAAGACCAUUGAAGUGAGAGGGCACUCCUUUUACUUACUCAGAAGAUCCAAUGAAGGACCAAUGACUAACUUUCAUCUUUGCAUUAUCAAACCUUAGUACACCAUUCUCCUUGCAUUCUCCAGAUAUAAUGUUUAUUUCAACGUUACUUGUCUUAAACCUUUGCACUUUUCCACUAAUAAUAAAUUGCAAUGACUUGCACGGAGUAUUUUGAGUUGAACCACAGUCCACAGUAUUGUUACCAUUACUACAGUCAACAUAGAUAGUUGACAAAUUGCCAAGGUGACCAUGUGUCUCAUCAUGUAAGCACACCACCACAGAAAUUGCCAACAUACCCCAACAUAUUAACCAAUAGAAACAGAACUUAGCAAUUAGCCCUAAUAGUAACAUACCAUAACACUGGUAAGUCCGGUAUAGUUAUCUAUAUAUACAACAAUACAACACAUGUGUGACUUUACCCACGUGGUGAAAACGUGAUCAAAGUCUCGUCUUCAGGGAAUACCGGAGGCUCGAAAAACCAGCGGAUUCACCGUGACUUGCAAAAAAUAUACAUAUCAAAUAAACAAAUAAACAAGAAGUAAAGGUAUGCAAUAUUUAUAUCAGAGAUCAACUCUGAUGCUGACACUGUCAGAUUAUUUUUAUCAAUACACCUUUAGGAUGUAAACCACUGCUGUCACUGCUAAAAGAGUUAAAAAGAAUUUGGAUAUGAGUUCGGAGAUACGCUUGGUAAGCUUUAUAACCUCUUUAUUUUUGUGU